UACGAAGGGGGCUAGCGUUGCUCGGAAUCACUGGGCGUAAAGGGUGCGUAGGCGGGUCUUUAAGUCAGGGGUGAAAUCCUGGAGCUCAACUCCAGAACGGCCUUUGAUACUGAGGAUCUUGAGUUCGGGAGAGGUGAGUGGAACUGCGAGUGUAGAGGUGAAAUUCGUAGAUAUUCGCAAGAACACCAGUGGCGAAGGCGGCUCACUGGACUGGUAUUGACGCUGAGGUGCGAAAGCGUGGGGAGCAAACAGG
rnacentral:rRNA from 1 species